rnacentral:rRNA from 1 species
AUUGAACGCUGGCGGCAGGCCUAACACAUGCAAGUCGAACGCGUGGCGGACGGGUGAGUAAUGUCUGGGAAACUGCCUGAUGGAUAGGGAUAACUACUGGAAACGGUAGCUAAUACCGCAUACCAUCGGAUGUGCCCAGAUGGGAUUAGCUAGUAGGUUGGGUAAAGGCUCACCUAGGCGACGAUCCCUAGCUGGUCUGAGAGGAAGACCAGCCACACUGGAACUGAGACGCGGGCCAGACGCCUAUGGGAGGCAGCAGUGGGUAAUAUGGCACAAUGGGCUCAAGCCUGAUCAAGCCAUGCCGCGUGUAAGAAGAAGGCCUUCGGGUUUUAAAGUACUUUCAUCGGGGAGGCGUUACCCGCAGAAGAAGCACCGGCUAACUCCGUGCCAGCCGCCGCGGUAAUAC